AGGGCCAUAGCUCAGUAGUAGAAUACAUGCUUUGUGUGCAGAAGGUCCCUGGUUCAAUUCCUGGCAACCCCA